rfam:Ixodes scapularis strain Wikel colony gcontig_1108379361758, whole genome shotgun sequence.
UCCUGGUUAGCUCAGUGGCACAGCAGUCCACUGGAAAUGGAGAGGUCCCUGGUUCGAUACCAGGACCAGGCG